AGGACCGCUUGGGCCUGGGAGUUCAAGGCUGUAGUGCACUAUGAUCACACCUGUGAAUAGCCACUGCAUUCCUACAUUCCAGCCUGGGCUGCAUAGUGAGACCCUGUCUCUAAAAACAAUUUCUUUUAUAAAAAAAAAAAAAGAUUUUUAAAGACAGCUGUCACUAGAUUUAGUGCACACUCUAAAUCCAGGAUGAUCAUAUCUCAAGAUAAUUAGAUCCACAAAAACCUUUUACUAAGUAAGGUCAGAUUUGCAGUUUCUACAGGUUAGGACACAAAUAUAUCUUUUUGGGAGGCCACCAUUCAACCUAUACAGUGAGCUCUAGUUGUAUAUUCUGCAAAUGUUCCUAUGUGUAGUUAAUUAUUGCUUGGCAUACUGGCAUGAGAGUGUCUUCUAGGGAUAUGACCAGCACCUACUCACUUUGCCACCUGCCCCAGCAUCACAAAGCAAUGCAGGAUAAGAGAUUGUGUCACAAAAUGGUUAUGUCUUACAAUGCCCAGCACCAGAAGGGUCUAAGUAAGGAAAGCAAACAAGGUUUGAAAUGUGUGGAGCCAGACAUUUAUCUGUGGAAGGGUCUUUUAAUUAUUGGGCCUAGAACCAACCAUUUCUCCAAGGAGCCCUGGCUCCUGUUAGGAAAGAAAGGCGUUUAGAAACUAAGAUCUGGAUACCAGAUAUGCUUCCUAUGCAGACGCUCUUCCCUCCUCAGGCUUGGACACCCUCCACAUCAAGCAUCAUAAUGUUUCACUCUUGUGGCCCAGGAUGGAGUGUAAUGGUAAGAUCUCAGCUCACUACAACCUCUGCCUCCGGGGUUCAAGCGAUUCUCCUGCUGCAGCCUCCCAAAGUAGCUGGAAUUACAGGUGCCUGCCACCAUACCAAGCUAAUUUUUUUGUAUUUCAAGUUGAGAUGGGGUUUCACCAUGUUGGCCACACUGGUCUUGAACUCUUGACCUCAGGUGAUCCAGCUGCUUUGGCCUCCCAAAGUGCUGGGAUUACAGGUGUGGGCCACCGCGCUCAGCACAAAAAUACUUUCUAUCUCCUCUAUGGCUUUGCCUUGCCUGGCCCCUGCUUGCUGCGCCAGCCUCCCCUCCUAGCACACUCCCCCCACUAUCUGCCCUCCAACCACAUGGCAACCUUUCAGUUCCUUGAGGGCUCCAUGCUUCCUCCCACCCCAGGACCUUUACAUGAAACAUUCCUUCUGCCUGGAAUGCUAUUCUCCUGUAUCACCUAGUUAACUCCUACUCAUUCUUCAGGUGUCAGCUCAGCUGUCAUUUUCUCAGGCAGGGCUUCUCUGAUUCCAUUCUAAUGUAAGUACUUCUUUUAGCCACUCUGAUCUGCCACGAAUCUUUCCUCUAUAACAUUCAGUUAUAAUUGUACACUUAUUUAAUAAUAAUUUAAUAAUUAUCUUUCUCUAGACAGUAAGUCAAUAAAGUAGGAUCAUCUCGGUUUUGCUCACUGCUGUAUCCCUAGCACCUAGCAGAGUGAAGGGGACAAAUAUUUUUUUUUUUUUGAAUGAAUGGACAGACUCCUUAAAAUUGUCUGAAUGAUACUGACAGGAAAAUUUCAUCUAUGUGGACAAGGUCUCAGACCACAUGGCUUGACCCAGAGAUCUCAGCUUUUUAGUCACUAUAGUGAGUCUGGGCUAUCUGGGGCCUCCUGUGGACAGAGUGAGUUGUUCAAGUUCCACCUCAUAAGGCUUGGUCUAACACUCUUUGCAAUGCACUCUUGCUCCCUGCCUGCAAAUAGAUUCCACCAGGCUUUUAGUUUGUUGCUUUGAUGAGGUUGUAUUUUUUAAAAAAAGAAGCCAGGCAGGUUGAAUCCUGCCAAAUUGCAUCUCUACACAGAAAACCCCACGGCUGAAUGCCUGGCUGCUCUGUGGUUCAGAGCUUGGAAUUUCUAGAGAGGAAAACAUUGAGAUUGCCCACUAGUUAAUAUGGGGUACACUGGGGAAGAAUUUCUGUAAGUCAAAGAUUUAACUCCGGCUUCUGCAUUAUUCUAGGUCCAAAUACAAAGUCCUCCCCUGACCUUAGAAUUCUGUGUCUGGAUGCUUUUGGUUACAAAACCAGAAAACUCCUUCUCAACUGGCUUAAACAGUGAGUUUCUUAUCACACAUCACAGGAGGCUGGAGGUAGGGCAACCCAGGGCCUUUUAAUUGGGCUGUUUGCAUACUCCAUGGAGGACCUGAAUUCUUUCCAUCCCUGUUUUCUAUGUGUGGUUCUGCCCUUGCUUUUUUCAUUUGACAAUAUAUCCUUAAAAUCAUUUCCAACAUGACAGAAAGAGCUGCCCUAUUGUUUUCUUUUUAUAUUGAAUAGUCUUCCAUUUUAAAGAGAUAUCAUAAUUUAUUUAACCAAUUCCCUCAUUGUGAGCACUUGUUUCCAAUCCUUUGCUCUUACAGUGAUGUGAUGAAUACUUGCACAUGUUAUUUUACAUGUGACUGAGUGCAUCCAAGGAUAAAUUCCUAGAAGUGAAUUUGCUGGGUCAUGAGCUAUAUGCCUUUGUAAUUUUGGUAGAUGUUGCCAAUCUGUCCUCCACAGAGAUUGUAUCAAUCUACUCCCCUCCCCAAAUGUGUACAAGAGCACUUCAAGUCUUUAUUUAUUUAUUUAUUUAUUUUUGAGACAGAGUCUCACUCUGUCACCAGGCUGGAGUGCAGUGAUGUAAUCUCAGCUCACUACAACCUCCGCCUCCCAGGUUCAAGCAAUUCUUCUGCCUCAGCCUCCCAAGUAGCUGGGACUACAGGCAUGCACCACCACACCCAGCUAAUUUUUUGUAUUUUUAGUAGAGAUGAGGUUUCACCAUGUUAGCCAGGAUGGUCUUGAUCUCUUGACCUCGUGAUCUGCCCACCUCGGCCUCCCAAAGUGCUGGGAUUAGAGGCAUGAGCCGCUGUGCUUGGCCAAGUCUUUUUGACACCUUAACUUAAACAUAGACUAGAAAAAAAAUAAUGGAAGGUGACUGGGCGAUUUCUGCAUAGAAAAACAAAGAUGGGUUAUUUAUCAACUCAGUCAUUUUAACUGGCACCAACAGAAGCCUCAGUGCUUUUUAAAUAAAUUAUUAAUCUCUGUGGACUCCCCUGCUAUCACAGUUGUCUAACGGUACCAGGCUGUCCAUGCACAGUCCAUCGUUCAGAACUCAGUAUCUGCAAUUUAAUCAUUCUGUCCACAAACAACUCCUCUCUAGAGGUCUUUUCUCCCCAUCUCCACCCGGCAAUCUCCUAGUCCUCCCUCAGGCCUCGCUGAAAUGCCCCUCCUCCAUUAAACAUUAUCUGACACGCCCAGGCAGAAUUAGUCACUUCUUAUUGCUCCCAUGGAAUUUUGUUCACACCUCAAUCAUGGCACGAAUCACUUGUAAUGUAAUUAUCCACUUACCUGUUCGUCUCCCACACUGAAUGCCUUAAGGAUAGAAACUUCAUCUUCAUCUUUGGACCAGCGCUUCUGCGCAUGGUGCUUGGCACAUAAACACUUCACCACUAAAGUUUGCUGGAAUGAAAUCAGGUAAGGUCGCAGUUUUGUGGUGCCUGGUGGCAAAAUCAAACAAUAUUGUUUUCCUUUUCUGGUGGUGUUGAUGAGAAGGUCAAAAAUUUGGCACUUCUGAAUAUUUCUUUAUAUCUUUCAUUGUUUCUGGACUUCUCCUGGAAUCUGUCCUAUUCUGUGCUGUGUUCUCAGUGCCUACAACAGUGCCUGGGAAACAACAGGCAUUUCAUAAAUGUUGAAUGAAUGGAUAUCUUUGAUCAGAGGAAGCUUCCAAAUGCAGCUGGAUUUUUUUUUUUUUUUUUUUUUUGGCCUGCUUCAUGUGCCCAAAGGAUAUUUCCAAGUCUUUCCAAAGCCUCAAGCAUGGACCCUCAUUUGCCCAUUCUGAGUAUUUGGGUUUUAUUUCACCUCAAGUUAAUGCAUGUAAAAGUGCUUACUUAGAACAGUGCCAGCUACUUAGUAAGCAUUCAGUAAAUGCUGACUAUUGUUUUUUAUUAUUAUUCCCACUAGUCCAAACAUGCUCCCAUCAGUCCACCCCCUGUGCUGGGCUCUUCAUUUCUUUCUGCACCAGAUAAUGUGGACUCAAUCCCUGGAAAACAUCCACGUAAGCAUCCAGGUUUCAAUUUAUCAACUGUGUAACCUUGGGCCAGUUAUUUCAUCUCUUGGAGGCUCAGCUUCUUCAUUUGGAAAAUAGGCAUCUUAAAAGCUACCUCUAGAUAGAUAUUAGAUAGACGUUGCUAUGAGGAUUAAAUGAACCAAUCCAUGGACACUGCUUGCCAUCAUGCAGGGCUCAGAGUCAGCAUUUAGCUAGCAUCGUGAUCAUAAUCAUCCUCAUCAUCAUCAUCAUCAUCAUCAUUGCAGACGCCAAAAACCUUUCAUCUCUUCUUUCUGGGAGGCUCAUUCCCACAGCUCUUCUGGCUGAUGGUAAAUCUUUAGCUGGUUCUGAAGUUUGGGGCAUCACCAAGAUGCUUGCGUUGACUAGGUGAUAUGGUUUGGCUCUGCAUCCCCACCCAAAUCUCAUCUCGAAUUGUAAUCCCCACAUUUCAGGGGAGGAGUCUGGUGGGAGGUGAUUGAAUCAUGGGUGUGGACUCCCCCCUGGCUGUUCUUGACAGUGAGUGAAUUCUCACAAGCUCUGGUUGUUUGAAAACGUAUAGCACUUCCCCCUUCACUCUUUCUUUCUCCUGCUCUGUCAUGGUAAGACAUGCUUGCUUCCCCUUUGCCUUCUGCCAUGAUUGUAAGUUUCCUGAGGCCUUCCAGCCAUGCUUCCUGUUUAGCCUGCUAAACUUUGAGUGAAUUAAACCUCUUUUCUGCACAAACUACUCAUUCUCAGGCAGCUCUUUAUAGCAGUAUAAAAACAGAAUAUACAGAAAAUUAUUUAUAAUAGCUAUAAAGAUACCUGAAAAUGUAGAAGCAACUUUGGAACUGGGCAACAGGCAGAGGCUGGAACAGUUGGAAAGCUCAGAAGAAGAUAAAAAGAUGUGGGAAAGUUGAGAACUUCCUAAAGACUUGUUGCAUUGUUUUGACCAAAAUGUUGAUAGUGAUAUGGACAAUGAAGUCCAGGCUGAAGUGGUCUUAGAUGGGGAUGAGGAACUUAUUGGAAACUAGAAUAAAGGUCACUCUUGCUAUGUUUCAGCAAAGAGACUGGUGGCAUUUUUCCCCUACCCUAGAGAUCUAUGGAACUUUGAAUUUGAGGGAGAUGAUUGAGGAUAUCUGCUGGAAGAAAUUUCUAAGUAGCAAAACAUUCAAGAGGUAACCUGGCUGUUUCUAAAAGUGUAUGCUCAUAUGCAGGAACAAAGAGAUGAUUUGAAACUGGAACUUCUAUUUAAAAGCAAAGCAGAGGAUACCAGUUUGGAAAAUGUGCAGCCUGGCCAUGUGGUAGAAAAGAAAAAUCCAUUUUCUGGGGAGAAAUUCAAGACUGCUGCAGAAGUUUACAUAAGUAAAGAAGAGUUAAAUAGCCAAGACAAUGGAAAAAAUGUCUCCUGGGCAUUUCAGAGACCUCUGAGGCAGCCCCUCCCAUCACAGGCCCAGAGCCCUAGAAGAAAAAAAUGGUUACAUGGCCCAGGCCCAGGACCCAGGACCCAGCUGCUCUGUGCAGCCUUGGGACAUGGCACCCUGAAUCCCAGCCCUCCAGCUCCAGCCAUGGCUAAAAGGGGCUAAGGUUACAGCUCAGGCCAUUACUUCAGAGGUUGUAAGCCCCAAGCUUUCACGGCUUCCACGUGAUGUUGGGCCUGCAGGAGUGCAGAAAGCAAGAGUUGAGGUUUUGAAACCUCCGCCUACAUUUCAGAGGAUGUACGGAAAUGCCUGGAUGUCCAGGCAGAAGUCAGCUGCAGGGGCAGAGCCCUCAUGGGGAACCUCUACUAGGACAGUGCAGAGGGGAAAUGUGGGAUUGGAGCCCCAACACAGACUCCCCACUGGGGCACUGCCUAGUGGAACCAUGAGAGGAGGGCUAGCAUCCUCCAGACCCCAGAACAGUACAUUCACUGACAGCUUGCACCAUGUGCCCAGAAAAGCCACAGCCACUCAGUGCUAGCCUGUGAAAGCAGCUGUGGGGGCUAUACCCUGCAGAACCACAGAGUCAAAGCUUCCCAAGGCCUUGGGAACCCACCUCUUGCAUUAGCAUGCCCUGGAUGUGAGACAUGGAGUCAAAGGAGAUUAUUUUGGAGCUUUGGGAUUUAAUGACUGCCUUGCUGAGUUUCGAACUUGCAUAAGACCUGUAGUCCCUUGGUUUUGGCCAAUUUCUCCCUUUCACAAUGGGAGCAUUUAUCCAAUGCCUGUACUCCCAUUGUAUCUUGAAAGUUAUUAACUUGUUUUUUAUUUGACAGACUCAUAGGUGGAAGGGGCCUGCCUUGUCUCAGAUGAGACUUUGGAUGUAGACUUUUGAGUUAACUCUGGAAUGAAUUAAGACUUUGGGGACUGUUGGGAAGGCAUGAUUGUCUUUAAAAUGUGAGGACAUGAUAUUUCAGAGGGGCCAGGGGUAGAAUAAUAUGGUCUGGCUCUCUGUCCUCACUCAAAUCUCAUGUGGAAUUGUAAUCCCCACAAGUCAGGGGAGGGGCCUGGUGGGAGGUGACUGAAUCAUGGGGUGGACUUCCCCCUUGCUGUUCUUGGAAGAGUUAGUGAGUUCUCAUAAUUUCUGGUUGUCUGAAAGUGUGUGGCACUUCCCCCUUCACUCUUGCUCUCUCCUGCCCCACCAUGAUAAGACAUGUUUGCUUCCCCUAACUCUUCCGCCACAAUUGUAAGUUACCUGAGGCCUCCCAGCCAUGCUUCCUGUUAAGCCGAACUGUGAGUAAAUUAAAUCUCUUUUCUUGAUAAAUUGCCAAGUCUCAUGUAGUCCUUUAUAGCAGUGUUAAAAUGUACUAAUAUACCGAAGUUCCUGUUCGUCCCCCCUUACCCUCCUAGAUGGAUUAUUUAAAGAUAUUUAUUUCAUUCACACAAAAAUGUUUUGUUCUGACCCAUUCCUGAGAGCUGAGAGUAGGCUGUAGGGACUCUGAAUAAGAAAAUAAGAGCAGCCUACUCUCCCUGACCAUA